ACUAGCUGACGAGUCCCAAACAGGAUGAUGAAAUGCGCAUCCUGGAU
rnacentral:hammerhead_ribozyme from 1 species